CCCUUAGAGUUUGAUCCUGGCUCAGGAUGAACGCUAGCUACAGGCUUAACACAUGCAAGUCGAGGGGCAGCAUGAUUGAAGCUUGCUUCAAUCGAUGGCGACCGGCGCACGGGUGAGUAACACGUAUCCAACCUGCCGAUAACUCGGGGAUAGCCUUUCGAAAGAAAGAUUAAUACCCGAUAGCAUAGUUUUUCCGCAUGGUUUCACUAUUAAAGAAUUUCGGUUAUCGAUGGGGAUGCGUUCCAUUAGGUAGUUGGCGGGGUAACGGCCCACCAAGUCAACGAUGGAUAGGGGUUCUGAGAGGAAGGUCCCCCACAUUGGAACUGAGACACGGUCCAAACUCCUACGGGAGGCAGCAGUGAGGAAUAUUGGUCAAUGGACGAGAGUCUGAACCAGCCAAGUAGCGUGAAGGAUGACUGCCCUAUGGGUUGUAAACUUCUUUUAUACGGGAAUAAAGUGGAGUAUGCAUACUCCUUUGUAUGUACCGUAUGAAUAAGGAUCGGCAACUCUGG
rnacentral:rRNA from 1 species